rnacentral:snRNA from 1 species
UUUUCUUUUCAAUUAUUGUG